rnacentral:misc_RNA from 1 species
GGUGUGUCCCCUCAGGGUAGACCUGCAUAUUCAACAAGUACAUUGUCCUAAUAAAAACUCAGAAAUUAAAAAAACUAUGGGUGAAGAUUUGAAAAAUAUCAGUGGGAUCAGAAAAACAAAAUCAAAUGGUGGCAAGGAACAAUAUUUUCCAGGGUAAGUUGAAAAACCACAUUGUUAAUUUCAAUCAAACACUAAAAAUCUGCCCUCUAGUAAUCAGCGCCUCUUCCCCAGUUACGAUCAAUGAAAAAGCAACAAACACCCUUGCAUGAGAGGCCAGAAGAAUUAAAGUGCCCCAAAAGAAUGUAAAACAUUACAAACACAAGGCAAAAAAUAGUUAGUAAUUGGAUGAAUGUCUGGAUGCCAGUAGCUGUCACAGUACCAAACCCCACAUAAAUGAUUAAGCCAAGGUAUCGUCCACUCAACAAGAACAAAAAGCUUAAAAAGACUUAUUAAUAAAUUAGUAUAGGAUCAUGGAGACUUUGACGUUGUUCCGUUAUUAUUAUUUUUUACUAUUGUUUUCAUUGUCUAGUGAGCCUUUUUUUUUUU